AUACGGAGGGAGCAAGCGUUAUUCGGAAUCACUGGGCGUAAAGGACGCGUAGGCGGGUUCGUAAGUCAGGUGUGAAAUCCUACAGCUCAACUGUAGAACUGCACUUGAAACUACAGACCUAGAGUAUGGAAGGGGCAGAUGGAAUUAGUGGUGUAGGGGUAAAAUCCGUAGAUAUCACUAGGAAUACCGAAAGCGAAGGCGAUCUGCUGGGACAUUACUGACGCUGAGGCGUGAAAGCGUGGGGAGCAAACAGGAUUAGAAACCCGAGUAGUCC
rnacentral:rRNA from 1 species